UAAUGGCUAAGAUGCGACAAACGGAGCUCCAAGUUUAACAACAGCAGCAGCGAUUGAUCAAGUGCUGGCACAGACCUGGAAAGCAACUCCCUCUCCCACUGCUGCUUUGCCAAGGCCCGGUGUGGUGGGUGGGGAGGAGGACUGUCUAACUCUACAGUCGUGGCCAUCGUGUCUUAAAGAGAAAGGUCAGCUACAGCUGGGAACAAAAACAGGAGGAGUGUCCCCGCAUUUCCACUGUUCGAUACUGACUAGAGUGUGCCACCUUGGUGACGCAGAACAUAAAUGUGUCUCAGCACUGCAGUUCAAGCCAGCUGGGAAGAUUACUUAAGCAGAGAAGGAGCCACUAGAAAACGCAGAAUAUCCAGGAUAUGGACAGUCUGCACACUGCUGUCUGUCACUCAGUAUGAAACACAUCAGCAACAGAAAAGAACUGAUGAACAAGACGAGGUAAAUGCUGCCAAUGGUUCAUAGCUGUGGAAUCUAGUAGUAGGUGUAUGUGUGUUUGCUGUCCACGUCUUUCAAAGCUGCUGCACUGUUCAACAAUAUGACCAAAUACUAGGUUGGGUAAUGUUUUUAAAAGGUCCAUAAUCCUUACCCAAACACAGUUACCCAAGUGUCAUCGAGGUGAUCUUCUGAAGUCAGAGAAUCUCCUUGAGUAUAAAAAGGAUCCAACUGGGCAGGAGAGAGUGUCGUCUUCCGUGGCUGGCCAAUAUUUGCUGGACUAAACAUGCUUUGUCCUAUAUUGAUAAAUUUAGGAAGUUAGUUACCAACAUAAACACAUGAGCUUAUUUUGAAACAAAGAUCUUAGUUCAAAGGGCAAAGUAUAUUAAAAGUUGACUGUUAUA